rnacentral:rRNA from 1 species
CUACGGGCGGCUCCAGGCGCGAAAAUUCUACAAUGCAUGAAAGUGUGAUAGAGGGAUCUUGAGUGCUUUUGUUAACACAAAAGCUUUUGCUUACUCUAAAUAGGUAGGCGAAUAAGGGCUGGGCAAGACUGGUGCCAGCAGCCGCGGUAAUCCCAGCGGCCCAAGUGGGGCUCAGUUUUACUGGGUCUAAAACAUUCGUAGCCGGUUUUGUAAGUUUCUUGUUAAAUUGUUGCUCUUAAGGUAACAGCCGCAAGAAAUACUAUAGGACUAGGGACUGGGAGACGUAGCGAGUACAGAAAGGGUAAUGGUAAAAUAUUUUAAUCCUAUCUGGACUAACAAUGGCGAAGGCACGCUACGAGAACAGCUCCGACGGUGAGGAAUGAAGGCCAGGGGCGCAAAACGGAUUAGAUACCCGAGUAGUC